UGGAUUUUCAACCCUUGAAAUAGCAACAAUAAAAUAAGGUAAAGUACCUGACCACAUGACAUUCAUGUCUUGUUCAGAUUCAAGAUUCUGUACUGUAUUGUGAUAUGUCCGUAUAAAUUUAUUUCAGUUUCAUUCUAUUCUGAUUGUCAUUUCAUUUAUUUCCAAACAGUUUCGAUUUCCAGUUCACACAAACCCAAUUUCCAGUCAGGUUCCCAAACAGAGCUUCUUUACAAAAUCACUUCUAGAUGUCAUAAUUGGUGGCACUGUACCUUUUGGUUGUAUUUUUCUUCAACUUUUUUUCAUUCUAAACAGCAUUUGGUCGCAUCAGAUGUACUACAUGUUUCACUUCCUUUUCUUAGUUUUUUUAGUUCUUCUGACUGCUCAGAAGCUACAGUUCUGCUGUGCUAUUUUCAUUUGUGUGCUGAGGUAAAGACAUACAAUGCUAAUGCACCUUAAGCUUUCUAACCUUGCUUUAUUGAAAUUAGAAGUCUGCUGACAAAGGAAUUGAAACAAAUGUCAACUGUGUGCUUUGUGAAACUGGGGAUCAGUUUUUAAAUUGUGUUCUCCUAAUGACACAUUUUGACUUUGAUGCAGCUAUCAGGUUAAUACCACUCUGAUGGAAAAUUGAUACAGAGAACUAUUUCUCUCUGGCUGGUUACUAUAAUUGCUGAAUAAUAUUCAGUUAACAGAAAAACAAUGGACUGAUUUGCUAUUUAGACAUGUAAAAGACCUGAUUCAGUGAUGUUUUCUUUUGAACAAUUAGUUUUCUUUGCAGCUUUGGCCAAAAUUGUAUUUUGUGUGAUUGAGAUUGCUGCAAAACGUCUUUCUUUCUCUUCCUUUCUUUAUUACCAUAAGUAGUUUUUUUAAAACUACAUCCUCAUUUUUUCUUUCAUGUCAUUUGGAUAACUAAGGUGGUAGCGGAGUAUGUUGCUCUUUUCAAUCCCAUAAUCCCUCUUAUUUUGGUAGUUAAAUAU
rnacentral:lncRNA from 1 species